UACGACUACAUAUCAGGCAUAUCAAUAAGCGGAGGAAAAGAAACUAACAAGGAUUCCCUUAGUAACGGCGAGUGAAGCGGGAAGAGCUCAAAUUUGAAAUCUUCAAGGUUCUACCUUGACGAAUUGUAGUUUAAAGAAGUGUUUUCUGUUAGAUGAGUAGCAAAAGUUCCUUGGAAUGGGACAUCAUAGAGGGUGAGAAUCCCGUAUUUGGUUAUUCAUUCUAGCUUUGUGAUACACUUUCAAAGAGUCGGAUUGUUUGGGAAUGCAGUCCAAAAUGGGUGGUAAAUUUCAUCUAAAGCUAAAUAUUGGCGAGAGACCGAUAACGAACAAGGUACCGUGAGGGAAAGAUGAAAAGAACUUUGAAAAGAGAGUUAAACAGUACGUGAAAUUGUCAAAAGGGAAGCGUUUGACACCAGUGUUGUUUUUCCGAAAAUCAAUUACGAAUGGCUUGAUUUUGUGUUGUAUUGACCUUAUCAGCUUUCUUCACUUUUUUCGAGUCUUUCUUAAUGCACUUUUCGGUUAACAAGUCAACAUCAAUUUCUUUUGUUGUAAAAGAGUAUUCGGAAGGUGGCUUUCUUUUCGGAGAAAGUGUUUAUAGCCCUAUACUUCUACAAUCGGAGAGAUUGAGGUCUGCAGCGUAGAUCCUUCGGGGUUAGAUACACUUUGUGCUAAGUUGUAGCUUUUCAUAGACAACUUGUUGACUAUGUUUAGUCAUGCGGCUUACUCGCUUGUGCUAUUUUACCUACGCUUAGGAUGUUGAGUAGCGACAUACGCA
rnacentral:rRNA from 1 species